rnacentral:rRNA from 1 species
AUUACCGCGGCUGCUGGCACGAAGUUAGCCGGGGCUUCUUCUCUCGGUACCGUCAUAAUCGUCCCGAUCGAAAGGAGUUUACGUUCCCAAGGGACUUCAUCCUCCACGCGGCGUUGCUGCGUCAGGUUUCCCCCAUUGCGCAAAAUUCCCCACUGCUGCCUCCCGUAGG